rnacentral:lncRNA from 1 species
GGGAGUUCCUGUUGUGGCUCAGAGGUAACGAACUCGACUAGUAUUCAUGAGGAUGUGGGUUCGCCCCUGGCCUCAAAUCAGUGGGUUAAGGAUCUGUCCUUGCCAUGAGCUGUGGUGUAGAUCAAAGACACGGCUCGAAUCUGGCAUUUCUGUGGCUGUGGUGUAGGCCAGCAGCAGCAGCUCUGAUUUGAUCCCUAGCCUGGGAACUUCCAUAUGCCGCAGGCACAGCCCUAAAAAGACAAACAAACAAAUAAAUAAAUAACUGGUGUUAGCCUAAGUGGAUGGUUAUAGAGAAAAAAGAGAAAAAAAUCUUUCUUAUUUAUUUUUGGCCAUACCUGCCACAUGCAGAGGUUCCUUGGCCAGGGGUUAAACCCAAGCCAUGGCAGUGACAAUGCUGUAUCCUUAACCCACUGAGCCACCAGGGAACUCCAUCUUAUCUAUUUUCACUUCUUAUUGAAGUAUAGUUAAAGAAGAGAAAAUUUAUUGCAUUCUCUUUUCUACACAUAGGGCAAAUUUUCACUGUGUCAGAGAGUUAAACCACACUAGCCCUGAUACAAAACAUAGGUGAAAACCCUAUAGUCCAGGCAUUGGAGAAACUUUUCUAGAUGUAACUAAAGAUACAAAAGCAGUAAGAGAAAAUACUGAUAUUUUGACAGUAUAAAGAGUUAAAAAGAAUAAACUUUCACAUUGGAAGAACAAGUGAACAAAGAAAACUUACCGUGAGCAAAGUUAAAAUGACAAAAUGGGAAGAGUAUUUGCAAUUUAUAUCAAAGACAAAAGUUAAUAAUCCUGAUAUAUAAAGAUCUUAUCAGUAUAGAGAAGAAAAAUAAAUCUAUAGAUUCUGUAGAGAAAUAAGCAAGAGAUUUAAAUUGAUAAUAAUAAAGGAUUUCCUUGGUGGCUUAUUGGUUAAGGAUUUGGUGUUGUCAUUACUGUGGCUUGGGUUCGAUUCCUGGCCUGGGAAUUUCUGCAUGGCCAAAAAAAAUACAGAUAAUAGAAAAAGAACUACAGAUGGCCCUAACUAUUUGCAAAGGUGCUUAUUAACAUCACUGAUAAUAAUAGAAACACAAUUUAAAACUACACUGAGAUCCCAUUUCCCAUUUUCAGAAUUGGCCAAAACCCCAAAGCUUGACAGCAUCCCCUGCUGGCUUGAUGAGGUACUAUUAUCCUGAGAGAAACAGAAUUACAUAACUUCAAGUGGAGGGCAAGUUGGCAAUAUCACUUAGCUGGUGCAGAAUUCUUACUUUUAGGAACCUGAUUUGAAAAGGGGGAAAACAAAUAUCUUCCUGAUAUUUGUACAAGGCUAUUCACUGAAGCAGAAGACUGGAAAAGAAAACCCAAAUGCCCAUUAUUAGGUACCGGUUAUGCUUUUAUAUCCAUUCAACAAGAUACUAUGCAGAGGUAAAGAGAAGUGAGAAAAUGUAUUACUGUGAACUAAUCCCUGAAAUUAAUAGAUUAAAAUAUUUAAGAGACAUGACCACUGAUUGCAAUAUGUAAAGCUUAUUCAUGAGUGGCAAACUUUCUGUAAAGGGCCAGACUAGUAAGUACUGUAGUUUUUGUGAGUCAUACAGUUUAAGUUAUAACAAAAUAACUUUUAUUUUAUUUUGGCCGUGCCUAUGGCAUGCCGAAGUUCCCCGGCCAGGGAUUGAACAUGCAUCAUAGCAGUGACCCCAGCUCUGCAGUGACAACACUAGAUCCUUAAUCCACUGCACCACAAGGGAAUUCUAGUUUUGGCCUGUAUUCUGUAGUUUGCCAACAUCUGACAAACUUUUAAAACAAAUUUAUGAGACAAGUUGAGCAGAUAGGAUAGUAAAAUAGGGAUGGGAUAAACCAGAGUGAGCCCACCUAUUUGGAAAGAAGAGCAGUGGGAGGCACAGAGUAGUUACUGGUCCAUAGACAUUCUGAAAUCCAAUUGAGCAAGGUGCUCUUGGGAGGUGGGGGCUGUUCCAGAAUCACACCCCAGUCACUGUUCCUAUAAAUAGAUUUUCAGAUCAUUGUAUUCUCUGACCUUAGCUGUACCUUCUGGGAGUUCCCAUAUUUCCCAUCAUGAUCCAUGGCCAUAUCUGAAAAUACUCUGCUUGGCACUGAGGAACACCUCAGUCUGCUUCCCCUGCUGGAUUAUUUAUGGUUGAAUUAGCACCUGGAUUCCUGUCUAAGGUUGGAAACUAACAUUUCUCAGAAUCCUCUUUUCUGUGUGGUAGGGGAGAGAGUUGGACACUUCAAGGAACUUUCAUGAGAUUCAGAAGGCAGAUGAGAGCUGAAGAUACUACUCCUGGAAUGUCAUGGUGAUCAGCUGUGAUAUAUAUAUAGAGGUGCCUGGGGGUGGGAGGCUCCUGUUCUUUCCUCCUGCUCCAGCUCAUCUUGUUUGCUGGCCCCACUGACCCACAGCUGCCUCAAACCCUCCUGAGUUUGUUUCGAGGCCCUCAGAGAUUUGCACAGAGCUUUCCAAGAGCAGCUCCUUUGCUGGGUCCUUCCAUUCCUCCCUUGCAGUGAGGUACGCAGGCUUGUGUUUUCCUGCAAGCUCCAGCUUGUCCUUGUGUCCCCGUGCUUCAGGAUAAAGUCAUUUGUGACUUUUUCUCUGAUCCUUCCACUCCUGCUUCAGAGACCUUCACUUUCCUAACUCCACCCACAUUUGAGUAAACUCAAAUUCCCACAGGAAAUCUCUUACUUUUAAAAAUACUUAUAGUGGCUCUGUUUUCCUGACUUGACUUCAGCUGAUACACUACCAUACAGAGUUGAGGGCUAAGAGUCAUUUUAUGUCUAAACAGUCAUUCUUUUUCAGUCUGGACUGUACGAUCUUUUGGAGGACAUCUCCCUCAAAAAUUUACAAGGCUUUUUGUCUAUUCAGUUUUACUUCCUUGUAUCAUCACACAUACAAACAAUUCUUUAUUUUUAUUUUUUAUUGAAGUAUAGUUAAUUGACAAUGCCAACAAUUCUUUUUAUACAUGCUUCUUUAAAGUUAAAUUCGGACACUUUGCCCUGGGGCUUCUCAGCGCUGACUGAUGGGAGGGGCCAGGUUUUCCCAAAAUGGCCACCUCCAGAGACAGGCACACUGCUGAAUAUUCCCGAGAGCUUUGCUUCCAAUGUCCUUCCCCCACACAAGCCAUAUUCACCCCUGUUUUCCCAGGAUGUCCUCUAAGAACUGCAGUCAGGUUUGACCCACAUUCCUAUGGAGACUUUGCUUUGUCCUGGGACCCAGUGCAUGUGAAAGUCUGUGUGCGCCUUUUAAGAAUGGGGUCUCUGUUUCCCCCAGUCCUGUGGAGCUCCUGUACACAAGCCCCACUGGCCUUCAGUGCCAGAUACUCCAGGGGCUCUUUCUCCCAGUGCCAGAUCCCCACACAUGAGAGUUUGAUGUGGGGCUCAGAACUCUCACUCCUGUAGGUGAGUCUCUGUGAACCAGUUAGUUUCCAGUCUGUGGGGCUUCCCACCCAGGAGGUAUGGGGUUGUUUAUAUCGUGAAAUCGUCCCUCCUACCUCUUGAUGUGGCCUCCUCUUUGUCUUCUGGAGUAGGAUAUCUUUUUUAAGGUUUCCGGUCCAUUUGAGUAAAGAUUGCUCAGCCUUUAGUUGUGAAUUUUGUUGUUUUUAGGAAGGAAGUUGAGCUCCAGUCCUUCUAUUUCACCAUCUUAAUCCCAUCUCCUGGACACUUUAAAUCAAUCAGAUUUUCAUCAGGGAGCUGCACCAUAAGCCUGUUCCCUCUCUGCCUACUAUUUGUCCAACUGAAAGGAUUUUUGUUUGGUCUCAUAAUUGAUUCAGAAGUUUUGAAGUGAGGUAGCACUGGUUUGUAGCAUUAUGUUUCAUGUGUACAUUAUAUUCUGACUUUUGUACACAUUACAGCAUGCUCACAACCAAAAGUCUAGUUUCCAUCUAUCAUACAGUUGGUCAUCUUUACCCAUUUGCCUAUCUUCCAACUCCUUCUCCUCUGGUAACCACUUCUCUGUUCCCUCUAUUACCUGUUUAUUAUUGUUUGGUUUAUUUAUUUAUUUUGCUGCUUUGCUUGUUAAUUUAUCUUGCCCUGGAUUUUGCAAAUGUAAAAGGCUGGUCUGCAGUAAGUCAGGUAAUACUCCAUCACUUCAGUAAUGUGAGUUCUGAUUGUAGUCUUCAAAUACAUUUCCUCCGUGCGUUUGUGUGUCUGUGUGAAUGUAUGUGUAAGUUAGGAAUAUGUAGGGUGUUCUAAAGUGUGGUUCUUAGGGGUGGCUUGGAUUCUUUAGGGAGAAGAGUGUGAAAUAGUAAGGUCAUUGAAGGCAUGGGGUGGUGGGCCUUUUAGUUGUGACUUUGUGGGUUCUUAGCAUAUUAGGGGUAUUGGAUAGAACCAUCACUUAUAUCUUUGAAUUUCGAAAGAACUAAGGCAAAUGCUGUAGAUUAAAUUUUUGUGUCUUCCAGAUUUAUUUGUUGAGAUCCAAUCCCCAGUGUCAGGGCAUUUGGAAGUGGAGCUUGUUGGGAGGUAAUUAAUUACAUCAUGAGGUUGGAGCCUUUGUGAAUGGGAUUAGUGCCCUGAUAAAGAAAGAGUCCCUAGAGGUGUUCCAGUUGGGGCUCAGCAGGUUAUGAACCUGACUAGUAUCGAUGAGAAUGUGGUUUGAUCCCUUGCCUCGCUUGGUGGGUUAAGGAUUCGACCUCACAGUGAGCUGUGGUGUAGGUCACAGGCUGGCUCAGAUUUGGCUAUGGCAUAGGCUGGCAGCUACAGCCCCAUGUAGACCCUUAGCCUGGGAAUUUCCAUAUGCUGCAUUUGUGGCCCUAAAAAGCAUAAAUAAAUAAAUAAACAAAAUAAAAAUAAAAAAGAGGUCCUGGAGAGUUCCUUCACCUGCUUAGCCCUGUGAGUACAAUGACUGUCUCUGAACCUGGAAGCAGGUUCUCACCAGACGCAGGAUAUUUUGGUGCCCUGGCCUUGGUCUCCCUGGCCUCCAGAACUAUGAGCGAUAAAUGUCUGAUGUUUAUAAACCACAUGGUAUGUGGUGUUUUGUUGUAGUGGCUUGAACAGACUGAGACAGCAGGUCUAAGGAACCCUCUUUCCUUUCCUUAGCAGCCACUCCUCCCCUGAACCCCCACCCUUCCCCCUCCCCACACACAUAUUCUGCUCUUUUCCCUGUUGUGGCUUCUUUUAUCCUUCAAGGUGUGACCAGUGUCUGCCCAAAUUUAAAUCUAAUUACUGAGUGAAAAUGCUGAAACCCAUAAGACCCAAUGAAAGGUUUAUUCUAGCUGUCAGUCCCAGGAAUUAUUUUGAGAUCAUGCUAGG